rnacentral:rRNA from 1 species
UACGUAGGGUGCAAGCGUUAAUCGGAAUUACUGGGCGUAAAGCGUGCGCAGGCGGUUGUGCAAGACAGAUGUGAAAUCCCCGGGCUUAACCUGGGAAUGGCAUUUGUGACUGCACGGCUAGAGUGUGUCAGAGGGGGGUAGAAUUCCACGUGUAGCAGUGAAAUGCGUAGAUAUGUGGAGGAAUACCGAUGGCGAAGGCAGCCCCCUGGGAUAACACUGACGCUCAUGCGACGAAAGCGUGGGGAGCAAACAGG